AGCGAACGCUGGCGGCAGGCCUAACACAUGCAAGUCGAACGGAUCCUUCGGGAUUAGUGGCGGACGGGUGAGUAACACGUGGGAACGUGCCCUUUGGUUCGGAACAACUCAGGGAAACUUGAGCUAAUACCGGAUGUGCCCUUCGGGGGAAAGAUUUAUCGCCAUUGGAGCGGCCCGCGUCUGAUUAGCUAGUUGGUGAGGUAACGGCCCACCAAGGCGACGAUAAGUAGCUGGUCUGAGAGGAUGAUCAGCCACACUGGGACUGAGACACGGCCCAGACUCCUACGGGAGGCAGCAGUGGGGAAUCUUGCGCAAUGGGCGAAAGCCUGACGCAGCCAGGCCGCGUGAAUGAUGAAGGUCUUAGGAUUGUAAAAUUCUUUCAGCGGGGACGAUAAUGACGGUACCCGCAGAAGAAGCUCCGGCUAACUUCGUG
rnacentral:rRNA from 1 species